rnacentral:misc_RNA from 1 species
GAUGAAGAACGCAGCGAAAUGCGAUAAGUAAUGUGAAUUGCAGAAUUCAGUCAAUCAUCGAAUCUUUGAACGCACCUUGCGCCCUUUGGCUAUUCCGAAGGGCAUGCCUGUUUGAGUAUCAUGAACACCUCAACUCUCAUGGUUUGCCAUGAUGAGCUUGGACUUUGGGGGUCUUGCCGGCCUAUGGGUCGGCUCCUCUCAAAUUAAUCAGCUUGCCAGUGUUUGGUGGCAUCACAGGUGUGAUAACUAUCUACGCUUGUGGUUUUCCAUCAGGUAACCUUCAGUGAUGGAGGUUCGCUGGGGCUCAUAAAUGUCUCUCCUCAGUGAGGACAGCUUUUUUGAACGUUUGAUCUCAAAUCAGGUAGGACUACCCGCUGAACUUAAGCAUAUCAAUAAGCGGAGGA